GAGAAAGCGUUGAAGAGGACAGUAAGCUGUCCGUGCAUCGACAGAGAGGGAUCCGUUUGCUGGAAAGAUCCUGUUGCGCGGCAUGACUGAAGACCACCUCCGAGCGGCCCUAAUAAGGCACGGUGAUUCCGUUAUCAUCAUUUGAAUGAAGAUGGUUUUCCAUGGAAAACAAGCAGGGUGGAACCGCGGGAAGUGCUCCCGUCCCUGUG
rnacentral:ncRNA from 1 species